GCGGAGCUCUGUUCAGUUGUUCUUGAAUCAGGAAAUGAGGAAGUGGAGAGUUUUCCUCCAUGUCAGAGCAGACGGAGCUCCAACUUUCUUCUUCUUCACAGUGAAGGUUGGAAGAAGGUGUGUGUGAGCUGAUCCUCAGUCCAGCAGCAUGGAUCAGUGGGAGGACACACAGGAGGGAGCCCAUCCCUCUUCAAAAAGGAGAGAUGGUAACCAUGACAACCAGAGAAAAGCUCAGAGUCUUUACAGGAACCAACCUGGAUCUGGAUCUGGAUCUGGACCUGAAUCUGAAUCUGAA